GGAAUCAUUUUUGUAUGUUUUUUUUUAAUUUGAGAUUCUGCAAUGAUGGAGCAAGGUCGGAGUAGUUUAAACUCUAUACCUUCUUUUCUAUCUAAGACUUAUAUGAUGGUCAAUGAUCAUACAACUGAUACCAUUAUUUCGUGGAGUUCUACCCAUAGAAGUUUCGUUGUUUGGAUUCAAUAUGAUUUUUCGAAGGAUUUGUUGCCCAUAUUCUUUAAGCAUAACAAAUUCUCGAGUUUUGUCAGACAACUUAACACCUAUGGAUUUAGAAAGGUUGGUCAAGAACAAUGGGAAUUCACAAAUGAAGAUUUUGUAAAAGAUCAACCAAAUCUCAUAAAAAAUAUCUAUAGGGGAGAUGAUAUUUUGGCCAUUAUGUGCCUAAUACUCAUAGCCAAUGGGCGGCGGCUUCUGGUGUUAGUGUUGUUGCUGCUCCAUUAACAGAAUCAGAGUGGUGGAAUUUUAAAGCUCAGAUUGAAAAACUUAGAAAUGAAAAAGAACAACUACUUAUGGAACAUCAGAGGCAGCAAGAGGAGGGGAAUCAAAAUGAGAUAUAGUUACAUUACUCGAAGGAUCGUUUGCAACAAUUGGAAUUGAAUCAACAAAGUUUGCUCUCUUUUAUUGGUUAGGUGUUACAAAAAUCAGUGGAAGAGGCAAGUCUCCAGCAAUCUACAGUAAACACGAGGAGGAAACGAAGUUAUAUAGGAAAUAGUCCCUAUAAUAAUUUAGCUAGCAUUGAAAUUCAGAAGGAAACUUUGGAAGAGUUAUCUAGAGCAAACACUGAGAGUGCGUCUGUUCUCAGUAUAAACAUGGAGCAAUUAGAUCUGUUUGAGUCAUCUUUGACGUUUUGGGACAAUAUUGUAAAUUUUUGAGAAUUAUGUUUGUAUUAAAGAGAUGUGUGACACCCUUGGUGUUUAAAAAUGUUUUAUUUUUAUGAAUUUAAUUAAGUAAGA